UCCCUGCCAAGCAGGGAGGCUAACGGGGGGAACUGAAACAUCUUAGUACCCCCAGGAAGAGAAAACAACAGUGAUUCCCCUAGUAGUGGCGAGCGAACGGGGAACAGCCCAAACCGUCGCUGUCGCAAGGCAGCGUCGGGGUAGUAGGACCACGACCUUGUAUCAUGAUCGCGAGCAGAAGGUCCCUGGAAAGGACCGCCGCAGACGGUGAGAGCCCGGUAUGCGAAGCGUGAUUGGGCAUAGUGGUAUCCUGAGUAGCGCGGGACACGAGGAAUCCUGCGUGAAUCCGCCGGGACCAUCCGGUAAGGCUAAAUACUCCCGUGAGACCGAUAGUGAACGAGUACCGUGAGGGAAAGGUGAAAAGCACCCCUAGCAGGGGAGUGAAACAGUCCCUGAAACCAUGCGCCUACAAGCGGUCGGAGCUGCUUUUGCAGUGACGGCGUGCCUUUUGCAUAAUGAGCCUACGAGUUGCCAUGUCCGGCAAGGCUAAGGGCGAGUACGCCCGCAGCCGCAGUGAAAGCGAGCCUGAACAGGGCGCCGAGUCGGAUGGGGCAGACGCGAAACCAAGUGAUCUACGCAUGGCCAGGCUGAAGUCCCGGUAACACGGGAUGGAGGGCCGCACGGAUAAGCGUUGAAAAGCUUCCCGAUGAGCUGUGCGUAGGAGUGAAAGGCCAAUCAAACUUGGAGAUAGCUCGUACUCCCCGAAAGGCAUUUAGGUGCCGCGUCGGAUGUUCACCGCGAGAGGUAGAGCGACCGAUAGGACGAGAGGGCUUCACCGCCUAUCGAGUCCUGACGAACUCCGAAUGCUCGCGGUCCGCAGUCCGGCAGUAAGGGGGCGGGUGCUAAGGUCCGUCCCCGAGAGGAGAAGAAUCCUGACCGUCGUCUAAGGUCCCGAAAUUCUGUCUAAGUUAGUCUAACGAGGUCUGGUCUCAGUGACAGCUAGGAUGUUGGCUUGGAAGCAGCCAUUCAUUCAAAGAGUGCGUAACAGCUCACUAGUCGAGAGACCGGGCAUGGAUAAUAAUCGGGUAUUAAGUCAGAUACCGAAGGCACGGGGUAGCAGAGUAAUGAAAAGUACCGGUAGGGGAGCAUUCCACCUCCGUCGAAUGGUUUCCGUGAGGAUUCCUGGAGGGCGUGGAAAAGCAAAUGUAGGCAUAAGUAACGACUAGGGGCGUGAGAACCGCCCCCGCCGCAAGUCUAAGGUUUCCCGGGCGAUGCCAGUCAGCCCGGGGUCAGUCGGGUCCUAAGGCUCAGCCGAACGGCGAGGCCGAUGGCAGACACGGUUAAUAUUCCGUGACCCUCUGCUGGAGCGACGUGGAGACGGAGCAGUGACACCACCGCGCCCUGACGGAAUAGGGCGUUGAAGGCCGUAGGUGCUGAUGGAGGCAGGCAAAUCCACCUCCAGAGCUGAAAGCCGACAGUACGCUUCCUCCUUCGGGAGGCGGCGACAGCGUGGGUAACCAUACUUCCUAGAAAAUCCGCUAAGCAUAUCCAUCGGAGGCCCGUACCGCAAUCCGACACAGGUAGACGGGUAGAACAUACUGAGGCGUUGGGAGAUUCAUGGCUAAGGAACUAGGCAAACUGACCCCGUAACUUCGGGAUAAGGGGUCCUCACGGCAACGUGAGGCGCAGAGAAUAGGCCCAGGCAACUGUUUAACAAAAACACAGGGCUGUGCAAACUCGAAAGAUGAUGUAUACAGCCUGACACCUGCCCGGUGCCGGAAGGUUAAGAGGAGGAGUCAGCCCCUUGUGGGUGAAGCCCCGAGUUGAAGCCCCGGUAAACGGCGGCCGUAACUAUAACGGUCCUAAGGUAGCGAAAUUCCUUGUCGGGUAAGUUCCGACCUGCACGAAUGGUGUAAUGAUCCGGGCGCUGUCUCGGCCAUGAUCCCAGUGAAAUUGUAGUAUCGGUGAAGAUGCCGAUUACCCGCGAUGGGACGAAAAGACCCCGUGAACCUUUACUACAGCUUAGCGCUGACCUUGGUCAUCCGAUGUGUAGGAUAGGCCGGAGGCUUCGAAGCGGGGACGCCAGUCUUCGUGGAGCCGCCCUUGAAAUACGGCCCUUUGGCUGUCCGAGGUCUAACGCGCUUUUUGCGCGGACACCGCUUGGCGGGUAGUUUGACUGGGGUGGUCGCCUCCAAAAGUGUAACGGAGGCUUCCAAAGGUGCCCUCAGGCCGAUUGGUAACCGGCCUCUAGAGUGCAAUGGCAUAAGGGCGCUUGACUGGGAGGGAGACAUCCCGAGCAGGCAGGAAACUGGGGCAUAGUGAUCCGGCGGACGCGUAUGGAAGCUCCGUCGCUCAAAGGAUAAAAGGUACUCCGG
rnacentral:rRNA from 1 species